GCUCUUACCUGGCAGGAGUGAUACGAUGAUCACGAAGGUGGUUUCCCCAGGGCGAGGCUUAUCCAUUGCACUCUGGAUGGAUGUGCUGACCCCUGUUAUUUCCCCAAAUGUGGGAAACUCGACUGCAUAAUUUGUGGUAGUGGGGGACUGCAUUCGCGCUCUCCCCUG